AGCUCCAAUAGUAGAUAUCAAAAUUGUUGCAGUUGAAAAGCUCGUAGUUGAAAUUCUGGGAAGUUCCGUUUAACUGUUCUACACGCAAGUGUUCCAGACGAAUGGGCUUUCCAUCUUGUGGAUUCCGCUUUGCGAUUCUUCAUUGCGUCGUAAAGUGCCACUCAGUUACUGAGAGCAAAUUGGAGUGCUCAAAGCAGGCUAUAUAGCUUUGAACAAUUAAGCUUGGAAUAACAAUUCACGACUUGUUUGUAAUUGUUGGUUCUACAUUAACAAGUAAUGCUUGAAAGGGAACAGUUGUCGGGGGUAUUCGUAUGAGCAAGUCAGAGGUGAAAUUCAAGGAUUUUGCUUAGACGAACGACUGCGAAAGCAUCUAUCCAGCAUGUUUUCAUCAAUCAAGAAC
rnacentral:rRNA from 1 species